GCAACCCGCAGUCUUCCCCACCUGGCUAGAGCAGGUGUUUGUGUCCCCUUCUGGUGAGAGCUUUCCAGCGCCCAGAGAGCCAAGACGGCUUGUGGAAUUGGGGAAGAGUCAGGGAGGGGGUGGGACACACCCUAAGGAAGGCCUUGAUGAGGCUCCAGGAGGCCUAGGAGGGUGUGGCACUCUCCUGCUCCAGUUGUGGGGCUGAGUCAGAAUCCUCCCAGGUCAU
rnacentral:lncRNA from 1 species